UACAGAGACCCCGAGCGUUAUCCGGAUUUAUUGGGCGUAAAGCGUGCGCAUUUGGUUUGUCAAGUUAGUGGUUAAAGCCUAAAGCUCAACUUUGGGAAGGCCACUAAAACUGAUAAACUAGAGGUUGGGAGAGGCAAGCGGAAUUGCUGGUGUAGGGGUAAAAUCCGUUGAUAUCAGCAGGAACACCAAAUGCGAAGGCAGCUUGCUGGAACACACCUGACGCUGAAGCACGAAAGCGUGGGGAGCGAAGAGGAUUAGAUACCCUCGUAGUCCACGCCGUAAACGCUGGGUACUAGACAUUGGGAGUAUCGACCCUUUCAGUGUCGUUAUAUCAAAGCUAACGCGUUAAGUACCCCGCCUGGGGAGUACGGCCGCAAGGCUAAAACUCAAAGGAAUUGACGGGAACCCGCACAAACGGUGGAGCAUGCGGUUUAAUUCGAUGAUAAGCGAGAAACCUCACCAGGACUUGACAUCUCUGGAAUCUCGGGUAACGCCGAGAGUGCCGCAAGGAACCAGAUGACAGGUGCUGCAUGGUUGUCGUCAGCUCGUGUCGUGAGAUGUACGGUUAAGUCCGGAAACGAGCGCAACCCUUGUCCUAUGUUAUWUAUGUCAUAGGAGACUGCCAGCUUUAAGUUGGAGGAAGGAGAGGAUGACGUCAAAUCAGCAUGGCUCUUACGUCCUGGGCAACACGCGUGCUACAACGGCCAAUACAAUGGGCCGCUAAGCCGAAAGGUGGAGCUAAUCCCAUCAAAGUUGGUCUCAGUUCGGAUUGAGGUCUGCAACUCGACCUCAUGAAGUUGAAAUCGCUAGUAACCGCGUAUCAUHCACGGCGCGGUGAAUACGUUCUCGGGUUU
rnacentral:rRNA from 1 species